rnacentral:lncRNA from 1 species
GCCACCCCUGAGACAGCAAGACCAACAACCCCUUCUCUUCCUCUUCAGCCUACUCAGUGUGAAGAUGAUUGCUGCCCUCAGCUGUGCCUGGAGCACAGGGCACCUCCAGUUCGGCCUCUCCAGAAGUAAACUUGUCUUCUGCCUAUCUUGUGUUUGUUGGGAGGAGGUGACCUGGGACUCUACUACUAUUGAUGAAGAAUCCGAAAAAGUCUUCUAUUAGCCCUGUGCCACACCCUACCUAUGAGGCUUUUGGGAAGAAGCAGAGAAAUCAGUGUUUACUGCAGAGAACACAGAAGCCAGCAAGCAGCAGGGAAGGGAGGCGAACCAAUGCAGCAGCCCACCGGGACCGAGGAGGACACACGCAGAGCAAGUCACAGGAAGCGCAGCUGAAAACAAAUGGACGCUUAUCCCAAAUGCACAGGACACUUACCAAGAACUGAUGGUCCGUCAAAGUAAAGCUCAACAGCUUUGGCUGGCAGGACAGUCAAACUUUUGGACGACAGAAAGUAACAGUGGGAAAUGGGACAACAUCUGCCAGCAACGCGAGAGGCCAAGACCAUGGCUGCUACAGGAGGGGUCAGCGUCACAGUACACGCAUGGCGGCGGUUGCACAUGCAUGCCUGG